rnacentral:rRNA from 1 species
ACGGAAGGCAGCAGUGGGGAAUAUUGCACAAUGGGGGAAACCCUGAUGCAGCGACGCCGCGUGAGUGAAGAAGUAUUUCGGUAUGUAAAGCUCUAUCAGCAGGGACGAAUUCGGACGGUACCUGACUAAGAAGCCCCGGCUAACUACGUGCCAGCAGCCGCGGUAAUACGUAGGUGGCAAGCGUUAUCCGGAUUUACUGGGUGUAAAGGGCGCGUAGGCGGGAAGGCAAGUCAGAUGUGAAAUCCAUGAGCUCAACUCAUGAACUGCAUUUGAAACUGUCUUUCUUGAGUGUCGGAGAGGUAGAUGGAAUUCCUAGUGUAGCGGUGAAAUGCGUAGAUAUUAGGAAGAACACCAGUGGCGAAGGCGAUCUACUGGACGAUAACUGACGCUGAGGCGCGAAAGCGUGGGGAGCAAACAGGAUUAGAUACCCUGGUA